rnacentral:lncRNA from 1 species
GGAAACCGGACCGCUACCGGCGCUAGGAUCCAGGUCGGCUUAAGGCCGCCGGAACCCGUAGCAAGCCAAACAUACAUCCUGUGAACCUGUUCAAUCCCAUACAUGAACCAAAACAUACAUAAAAAUUUAAACUUUUCUUUCAUUCACACAUUUCUUUACCCAGCCUAGCCUGUGCAUGCAUAAACAUAACAUAAACCCCUCAGUGGAGUUCUCAACAAUUACUCCAAUGGGGUACAUAACAUAUAGCAGGCUUGGGUUACAUAAACAUCAUAAAACAUUUAUCUCAUGUAUUUAAGGGAUUACAACAGACUCUAGUCAAGCACACUAUAAAACUUACAUUACAUUACAUAACAUACUUUUACAUUACAACUAAACCAUGUCCACUUCUAUGCUAUUACAGA